UCAGGUCAACAAACUAAUCAUCCUGUACCUCUAACGCCUGUACAUGUGCCUUACCCGGGAGGAACAGUGACCAUUCCUGAUGGUGCUUGCGGGCCAUUUAGGAAGCCCGUCGGUGAAAAGAUAGUGUGUUGCAACACCAGUAAUUACCCCUAUCCUCCACCCCAGAUCGAUGGACCAGAUUACCCUCCCUUUUUGUCACCCUUCAACGUUCGCGUUACUGACCCUGCGGGAUGUGACUGUCAAAUCACCCAGUACUGUCCUGAUUAUGAAAUAUAAAACGUGCACGUUUUGAACACUCAACACACGUUUCGAAUUAUAAUUUAAUAAUCUGGCUAUUGACAAACGGAUACUACUUAUGUUCACUUAUGAAUUAUUUUGUUUUAUUAUCUUUGUGUAACGCAUGCACUAGAUGCUUACUGCUGUCAUUCUUCAUCUAAUUUUCACAAAUUUUCAUUUUGGAAAGUAUAUUUGAUUUAAAGUUUGUUUUGUGUAUAAAGCACAAUAAAUAAUAUUUAACCUUCAUGUUUUAAAUAAAGAUUUUAUUUCA